rnacentral:lncRNA from 1 species
GAGCUGAUCUGAACCGCUGCUAAGGACUGAGACGCGCCUCGAGCUGUCACUUGCCGCCUGGAGUUCGUUGGGAAAGUUGAAAAAGCCUAGUCCUGUUUAGGAAAUCUAUCCAGCUGUGUAUAUCCUUUUUGCUUUUAGGGUAUGAAGCUUAGGAAGGAUAAGAAAAACAAGAUCACACAGCUGGCAAGUGACACAAUUUAUAACUCCAGAACGAGAAUUUGCAGUUGUUGCGCCAGAUGCCCUGUAGCGUGGCUCGUCUGGGUUCAGGAAAGUAUAGCUCCACUUUAGUGUUCUUAUGGAUCAUCGACUGUACCCAAGACCAGAAUGGAAACAACUAGAUCAUCUUCAACUGAAGAAUGGAGACAGAAACGUGAUACAGAAGUCUGAUCCUUUGAACACGUGAAGAGUUCAUAGCAGUCCACAUAGAAAAGAUGAAGGAUCCAGAGAGACAUUGACAAUGGAGAUGAAUGCAACAUUCACAGGAGAGAGCUGUGUCAACAGAGGCAUCAAUUCCCCUAAAACUGAAGGUAUAAAUGGCUGUGAGCCAGCACCUGGGUGCUGGAAAUCAAACCCUCUCGAAGAGCAGCCAGUGCUCUUACCUGCUGAGACAUCUCUCCAACUCUCCCCUUUCUUUUGAAGCCGGCCCCUACUGAAUCUAGAACUCCUUGAUUGGCUAGCAGGCAG